rnacentral:rRNA from 1 species
GGGAGCUUGCUCCUGGUGGCGAGUGGCGAACGGGUGAGUAAUGCGUCGGAACGUACCGAGUAAUGGGGGAUAACGCAGCGAAAGUUGUGCUAAUACCGCAUACGCCCCGAGGGGGAAAGCAGGGGAUCGCAAGACCUUGCGUUAUUCGAGCGGCCGACGUCUGAUUAGCUAGUUGGUGGGGUAAAGGCCUACCAAGGCGACGAUCAGUAGCGGGUCUGAGAGGAUGAUCCGCCACACUGGGACUGAGACACGGCCCAGACUCCUACGGGAGGCAGCAGUGGGGAAUUUUGGACAAUGGGGGCAACCCUGAUCCAGCCAUUCCGCGUGAGUGAAGAAGGCCUUCGGGUUGUAAAGCUCUUUCAGCUGGAACGAAACGGUGAGCUCUAACAUAGCUUGCUAAUGACGGUACCAGCAGAAGAAGCACCGGCUAACUACGUGCCAGCAGCCGCGGUAAUACGUAGGGUGCGAGCGUUAAUCGGAAUUACUGGGCGUAAAGCGUGCGCAGGCGGAUUGUUAAGCAAGAUGUGAAAUCCCCGGGCUUAACCUGGGAAUGGCAUUUUGAACUGGCAGUCUAGAGUGUGUCAGAGGGGGGUGGAAUUCCACGUGUAGCAGUGAAAUGCGUAGAGAUGUGGAGGAACACCGAUGGCGAAGGCAGCCCCCUGGGAUAACACUGACGCUCAUGUACGAAAGCGUGGGUAGCAAACAGGAUUAGAUACCCUGGUAGUCCACGCCCUAAACGAUGUCAACUGGUUGUUGGGGGAGUGAAAUCCCUUAGUAACG